GUGUAUCUUUUAACUAGAAGUAAUUUAUGAACGUCUGGUUUUUUGUAAUGCAUCUACCUUAUUUCCCUUUAUGAAUUGCCACUGAUUUUAGAUAAGCCCUCUACUCCAUGGUGGUCAAAACAGCUGGCCUCUGGUAAUGGAGCUUAGCGUGUUUCAGUUUGAGGACUUCGGUAAGGCUGCAUUUUCAAUUAUAUUUACGAACAUCUAGUUUUAUUUUUAUAAUGCAUCUACCUUAUUUCCCUUUAUGAAUUCCCACUCAAUUUAUGAUGUGAUUAACACUACUAUUAUACGAUUGAUUCCCACUCAAUUUAUGAUGUGAUUAACACUACUAACAUCUGUCUUCACAAGUUUAUGUUCUUUUCAAUGUGUGGGUACAUCUUGGCACGAGCUAAGUUAUAUCAGACCACCUGUUAGAUUUUUGGUAAUUAAUUUUGCAAGCUGCCCAUCUUUCUAUUUAAGUUCGUUGUUUGUCUUUUAGGCUAUUCUCACAUAAACCAUUAUGCAGGUUAUAUAGGAAAUAAGGAAAAGACACUUGAGG
rnacentral:lncRNA from 1 species